rnacentral:rRNA from 1 species
UGCAACUCGACUACAUGAAGCUGGAAUCGCUAGUAAUCGCGGAUCAGAAUGCCGCGGUGAAUACGUUCCCGGGUCUUGUACACACCGCCCGUCACACCAUGGGAGCCGGAAAUGCCCGAAGUCUGUGACUCAACCGAGAGGGGAGAGCAGCCGAAGGUGGAGCUGGUAACUGGGGUGAAGUCGUAACAAGGUAGC